ACAGGUGCUGCAUGGCUGUCGUCAGCUCGUGUCGUGAGAUGUUCGGUUAAGUCCGCUAACGAGCGCAACCCUCGCUGUGUGUUAUAUGUGUCACACGGGACUGCCGGUCUUAAGCCGGAGGAAGGUGGGGAUGAUGUCAAGUCAGCAUGGCCUUUAUAUCCUGGGCUACACACACGCUACAAUGGCCAACACAAUAGGUUGCUAAGCCGCGAGGUGGCGCCAAUCCAUAGAGUUGGUCUCAGUUCAGAUUGUAGGCUGCAACCCGCCUGCAUGAAGAUGGAGUUGCUAGUAACCGCAGGUCAGCUAUACUGCGGUGAAUACGUUCCCGGGGCUU
rnacentral:rRNA from 1 species